AUGGAGAGCACUCGCAUGCCACUGAGUGCCACCCCUCGCAUGCCAUGCAGCCUCCAAACCCUUGCGCGCCGCAACCUUCUCCGUGCCCUUCACCACCGCAAGGACGCGAGGCAGCCACGGCGUCUCUCAAUCUCAUGCGAGGCGGCCGGCGGCGGCAGCGUCGACCGCCGUGAGGUGCUCCUCGGCCUCGGCAGCGCCGCAGCUGCCGGGCUGGCCACGGACCAAGGUCGAGGCGCGAUCGCCGCGCCCAUCCAGGCCCCGGACCUCCGCAAUUGCCAAACGCCCGCCCUCCCGAACACGCCGCCGGACACCAACUGUUGCCCGACGCCCGGCACCAGCAUCACCGACUUCGAGCUGCCGCCCGCCUCCUCGCCGCUCCGCGUGCGUCCGGCAGCGCACCUGGUGGACGCGGAGUACCUGGCCAAGUACGAGAGGGCCGUGGCGCUCAUGAAGCAGCUGCCCGCCGAUGACCCGCGCAGCUUCGAGCAGCAGUGGCACGUGCACUGCGCCUACUGCGACGCCGCCUUCGACCAGGUCGGGUUCCCGGACCUGGAGCUCCAGAUACACAACUGCUGGCUCUUCUUCCCAUGGCACAGGUUCUACGUCUACUUCCACGAGAGGAUCCUCGGAAAGCUCAUCGGCGACGACACCUUCGCGCUGCCGUUCUGGAACUGGGACGCGCCGGCCGGCAUGACGCUGCCGGCGAUCUACGCCAACAGGUCGUCACCGCUCUACGACGAGAGGCGCGACCCCGCCCACCAGCCGCCGGUGCUGGUCGACCUUGACUCCAGUGGGACCGACGCCAAUAUCCCAAGAGACCAGCAGAUCGAUGAGAACCUCAAGAUCAUGUACCGCCAGAUGAUUUCAAACGCGAAGAAGACGUUGCUGUUCCUGGGACAGCCGUACCGCGCCGGCGACCAGCCGGACCCGGGCGCGGGCUCCGUGGAGAACGUGCCGCACGGCACGGUCCACGGCUGGACUGGUGAUCCAAGGCAGCCGAACGGCGAGGACAUGGGCAACUUCUACUCGGCGGCGCGCGACCCCAUCUUCUUCGCGCACCACGGCAACAUCGACCGCCUCUGGCAUGUCUGGCGCGGCCUCCGCCCGAGCAACGCCGACUUCACCGACCCCGACUGGCUCGACGCCGCCUUCCUGUUCUAUGACGAGGAGGCUCGCCCCGUGCGCGUGCGCGUCCGGGACUGCCUUGACACGGCCGCGCUGCGGUACACUUACCAGGACGUCGGCCUGCCGUGGCUCAACGCAAGGCCAGCCAAGGCGUCCGGCGGGACGCCGGCGCCUGCCACCACCAGUACCCUCCCUGCCACCCUGGACAGGACCAUACGGGUGACUGUGACGAGGCCCAGGGUGUCCAGGAGCCGCCGGGAGAAGGAAGACGAGGAGGAGGUGGUGGUCGUGGAGGGAAUCGAGAUCGCCGACCAUUUCAACAAGUUCAUCAAGUUCGACGUGCUAGUGAACGAGCCCGAGGGCGGAGUGGGCAGCACGCCGGCGACGGCGACGGGGUACUGCGCCGGGAGCUUCGCGCACACGCCGCACAUGGUCCGGCCCGAGGAGAUGAGGAAGGGACCGGUCAAGACGGUGGCGAGGUUCGGCGUGUGCGACCUGAUGGACGACAUCGGGGCGGACGGCGACCAGACGGUGGUCGUGUCGCUCGUACCCAGGUGCGGCGGUGAGCUGGUCACCGUCGGCGGCGUCAGCAUCAGCUACGUCAAGUGA
rnacentral:rRNA from 1 species